CCCACAGCAGAUCGAUCUCCGCCGCCAACCAGACCUUCGCACGCCCGAUCCACCCCUACGCCCCCUCCGCGGCCGAUCAAUCCCUGUGCCGCGGCCGAUCAAAACCGCCGCCGUCGCGCUUGCAGGAGGCGGCUAUCUGCUGUGGGAUCGGGCGAGGAUACGGGGCUCGAUGCAGAACGGCGGCGGCUGGAGCUUGAAGGGGCCAGAUCCGUGCGCGGCAGGGGCUGGGGAGCCGAUCCGGAGGUGGGCAGCGAAGCGGGGAUCGCGGGUGACGACGAGGAAGGCUAGAGUGGCUUCCCGGGCGGAUCCAUGGCAUCCGCGGCUCUUGGGAAGAAAGAAGACAUGGAGGUGAAGGAGAAGAGGAAGGCAGCACGUCGCCAGCCGGUUGGGUGACACCAGCCAGGCCACGGCUGGAGCAGCACAGGUGGCGCAGCCACUUCGGCAAGUACAAAUGAGGACUUGACCACCAGGUUUUUUUUAUUUCUCACAAUCAUGGUCAGACGCUAUAUGAUAUAUGGCCUGGAUAUGCUGAAACUGAACAUAAGAACAAUACAAGUCCUGUCGAAACUAGGCAGUGCAGCGCGAGUGCCGCUGCCCUAUGUGUGCCUGUGACCGAGCACUGCCCCGCCCAGCCGUGCAUGCAGGAUGGGAAGAUGCAGCGCUUGCUGGAAAGCUGGUCAAGGAGGCCCCUGACUGUGAGUUUUAGCUGAUUUAUCUUGCACAUCGCACUAAUUGGUAGAAAUAAAUGGACUUGCAGAAAUUUCCUAUCAUCGGUACGAUAUUUUCUGAUUAAAAUUAAUGAUGCUUUCCAUAUUGAGUUUGUAUAUUCGAUCUCACCAUUGUUUAGCUUCCUUUCCUGAUGUUUGGACACAAGGAAUGUGAGAUAAAAUUUAUCUUCUUUAGUUUUUACAUGAAAGUGCUCCAUUUAUAUGUAUUAUUGUUGAGACAUGGGAAUCCUCAAGGUGGCGGGCUUGUUCUUAUUGUUGCUCAUGCAACCAGUAUGCUUUAGCUAGAUUGUAAUUUCAGCAUCAUUAUUCUUUUUCUGGAUUGUACUACUUUUCAGGUUUCACUGUCUGAAUCUUCAGUACAAAACAAAGUCGACAAUAUAUGCCAUUUUAGGAGUAUUGCGGCCAACACCAUUUUUUGUUUUGUCCCAAAAUUUUCCCAGCUUUCUUCUAGAGUUGAAUGUGUUGGUUGGUAGUUUGCCCUCAUAGAGUUUUCAUAGCAACUGCUAGAUUAUAUUGUUAUCAAAUUUGCAACUAUUUAUAACCGUAAUAGUAAAUUCCACCGAGAGGUUAGGCGAGCGACUAUCACUAGGUAACAUAUCUUCAUUUUUCUCCCUCAAGUUUCAUUGGAUACUCUCAAUUUAACUGAGAUAAUUUCAUAAAACUACUAAAAUUAGUGGGUCGGACCGCUCGAGUAAGAUCGCUUCCACCCCAUCACGUGUGCUUACUGCGAGCACCCCGACUUCAUGCUUGGCAAAUACUGCAGAAUGUGUAGCAGAAUCCCGGCUAUCUUAGCAACUACCUCUCCGACGGUGCAGGUGCUCGGCCUCAUUAUGGUCAGGCACAACAAGUGGAGAUGAGUGGGAGGAAGAAGAGUGGAAGGAGAAGAAGGGAUUUGCACAGAGCAGAAUUUCUUGUUUGGAUGGGAGGUUGAUGUAGUCUUGCAUCGUUUUGAAAUUCCUGUCUGAGUAUACAUGUAUACGCUCCUAUAUCCAGCGUCUCAAGGUCUCCCUAAUCCUGUUGUUCUCCAACCCAGCUUUGACUAUCAUCCUGUUCCAUCAUUUAUUUUUAGUAUCUAGCCGGCGGCAGCUAUUCGAUCUUUGUCAUAAUCACAUGUGACACAUGUUGGUUUAGUCUAUAUUUAUGUACAUACCAUCUACAUCUCAUGCCUGCAGAGAUUGACAUGUAGUGCUUUUAGAUUUGGGUAGUGCAAAUUCUUCACCUUAUUUAUACUGAUUUUUGCAUGAGUUAUACAAUCAUGAGUUAUUGAUCCCGUGAUCUUUUGGAGCCUGAGAUUAAAUAAGAUAUGAAAUAAUAUAUGUAAGUUAUAUUUGAAAUAGUUUCCCACUGUAUAAGCAGAAUUAAAAUUGAUUAGUUUUGUUUGAAAAAAAUAUACUAGAUGUUGCUAUACCAAUAAUUAUUAUUAUUUAGUCAUCAAGAUAUAUAUGUUCUUUUUUACUUGCAUCUUUACUUUGAAUGUGUGUUGUAUGGUGUGUGUAUUCAGUGCCGACAUCUUACCUUGCAGGUCUAAGACAAGAUUGAACUCUUGAAAUAAAUACUCCCUCCGCCCCGAAUUACUUGUCGCAGAUAUGUAUGUAUCUGGAUGUAUUUUAGUUCUAGAUACAUCCAUUUCUGCGACGAGUAAUUUGGGACGGAGGGAGUAUUUUGUUUAUAUAUAUGCCUUUCCUAAAGAUAUCUCGGUCCUGCCCAGCUUGAUCUAAUUCAAUUUAGACGAAGGACACCUUCAGGAAUAAGACGAUCUACUCAAAGGCUGGCUUGCUCCGCGGCCUCCACCUCGCCCACCUCAUCCCGUAGCCAUUGUCGUCCUCCACACGACCACACCAGCUUUCACGAUUUGGGUCUGUGGCAGGCAUAAACUAUGAGAAUUUGACUGGUCAUUUUCAUCGCAGGCGGCUACGGCGAGGACGUGUGGAAGGUAACAGCUCGGACUUGAUGCCCUUUGCCUCCGUCAUGGACACUGUCAAUGAAUUUUGACUGUUUAUAUAGACUUUGGUUCAUUAUGACAACGAUAAAGAUCACUUUGAGGCGCUCGCCGUGGCAGACGGGGAUGGGGUGGCGCCGGGUACACUGCUUAUAUCAUAAAUGUUGUGACGGUUCCAAAUGAGAACUGAACUUACUGCACUAAUUUUCAGUUAUAUAUCAAGUCGGCAAAUGUUUGCGUGUUCUGUAAAAUAGCAUGGCAAAUUUUAAUCCAAAUGUUGUCUGUCUUCAGUUAUCUAAAAACUAGCAUGGCCAGUUUGUACAUGAUACAAUUUUUCAGCAUGGCAAAUUAGUUAAUAAAUUGUAAAAAAGAUGGUACCAAAUAAACUUGUAUACGGUCAUGUAGCAUUCUAAUU